rnacentral:rRNA from 1 species
UGCGGUAGCUUGCUCCCUGAUGUUAGCGGCGGACGGGUGAGUAACACGUGGGUAACCUGCCUGUAAGACUGGGAUAACUCCGGGAAACCGGGGCUAAUACCGGAUGGUUGUUUGAACCGCAUGGUUCAAACAUAAAAGGUGGCUUCGGCUACCACUUACAGAUGGACCCGCGGCGCAUUAGCUAGUUGGUGAGGUAACGGCUCACCAAGGCAACGAUGCGUAGCCGACCUGAGAGGGUGAUCGGCCACACUGGGACUGAGACACGGCCCAGACUCCUACGGGAGGCAGCAGUAGGGAAUCUUCCGCAAUGGACGAAAGUCUGACGGAGCAACGCCGCGUGAGUGAUGAAGGUUUUCGGAUCGUAAAGCUCUGUUGUUAGGGAAGAACAAGUACCGUUCGAAUAGGGCGGUACCUUGACGGUACCUAACCAGAAAGCCACGGCUAACUACGUGCCAGCAGCCGCGGUAAUACGUAGGUGGCAAGCGUUGUCCGGAAUUAUUGGGCGUAAAGGGCUCGCAGGCGGUUUCUUAAGUCUGAUGUGAAAGCCCCCGGCUCAACCGGGGAGGGUCAUUGGAAACUGGGGAACUUGAGUGCAGAAGAGGAGAGUGGAAUUCCACGUGUAGCGGUGAAAUGCGUAGAGAUGUGGAGGAACACCAGU